UUUGUGGUCUUGUUGCUAGCAAUUUAAAUACUGAUAUAAAUGAAACACACAUAUCUACUCUGUUGAAAAAGCAAUAAGUCCAGGGCUCCCACUCUCAAGGAGCUAGUGUAGAAGUAGUGUUCAGGGAAGCUAAGGCACAGGGAAGGAAACAAUUCCAAAACCACGGGGUGAGCUCCAUGAAUGAGGUGGGCACUAGGAGAGGACAGAUCCAGGGCUGAGGUCCUUGUCACAGAGAAAGACAGUCUCCAGCUUCAUCACUGCAGUGAAGGGCACGCGAUCUUUAUGUGAACAAAGUCUGUCCCAGAACACUUCCAAAUACUGCAGGACAUGUGGCUCAACAUGAGCCAAAAAGACGGUGUCCCCAUGCAUAGACCUGGGAUCCUCUCAAUGGGCCAAUGUGUAGGAACAGGAAAUACUUUUUUUUUUUUUUGAGACAGUCUCACUGUCGCCCAGGCUGAAGUCCAGUGGCACGACGAUGGCUUACUGCAACCUCUGCCUCCUGGGUUCUGGCAUUUCUCGUACCUCAGCCUCCCGAGUAGCUGGGAUUAC
rnacentral:lncRNA from 1 species